rnacentral:rRNA from 1 species
UACGAAGGGGGCUAGCGUUGCUCGGAAUUACUGGGCGUAAAGCGUGCGCAGGCGGUUUGUUAAGUCCGCUGUGAAAGCCCCGGGCUCAACCUGGGAAUGGCGGUGGAAACUGGCGAGCUAGAGUGUGUCAGAGGGGGGUGGAAUUCCACGUGUAGCAGUGAAAUGCGUAGAGAUGUGGAGGAACACCAAUGGCGAAGGCAGCCCCCUGGGAUAACACUGACGCCUCAGGCACGAAAGCGUGGGGAGCAACAGG